GAUGAACGCUGGCGGCGUGCCUAAUACAUGCAAGUCGAGCGAACAGACGAGGAGCUUGCUCCUCUGACGUUAGCGGCGGACGGGUGAGUAACACGUGGAUAACCUACCUAUAAGACUGGGAUAACUUCGGGAAACCGGAGCUAAUACCGGAUAAUAUAUUGAACCGCAUGGUUCAAUAGUGAAAGACGGUUUUGCUGUCACUUAUAGAUGGAUCCGCGCCGCAUUAGCUAGUUGGUAAGGUAACGGCUUACCAAGGCAACGAUGCGUAGCCGACCUGAGAGGGUGAUCGGCCACACUGGAACUGAGACACGGUCCAGACUCCUACGGGAGGCAGCAGUAGGGACUCUUCCGCAAUGGGCGAAAGCCUGACGGAGCAACGCCGCGUGAGUGCUGAAGGUCUUCGGAUCGUAAAACUCUGUUAUUAGGGAAGAACAAAUGUGUAAGUAACUAUGCACGUCUUGACGGUACCUAAUCAGAAAGCCACGGCUAACUACGUG
rnacentral:rRNA from 1 species